rnacentral:rRNA from 1 species
CAGUAGCCACGGUAAUACGAAGGGGGCUAGCGUUGUUCGGAAUUACUGGGCGUAAAGCGCACGUAGGCGGAUACUUAAGUCAGGGGUGAAAUCCCGGGGCUCAACCCCGGAACUGCCUUUGAUACUGGGUAUCUCGAGUCCGGAAGAGGUGAGUGGAAUUCCGAGUGUAGAGGUGAAAUUCGUAGAUAUUCGGAGGAACACCAGUGGCGAAGGCGGCUCACUGGUCCGGUACUGACGCUGAGGUGCGAAAGCGUGGGGAGCAAACAGGAUUAGAGACCCCGGUAGUCCCUGUCUCUUAUAC